GAUGAAUGCUGGCGGCGUGCCUAAUACAUGCAAGUCGAGCGAACGGACGAGAAGCUUGCUUCUCUGAUGUUAGCGGCGGACGGGUGAGUAACACGUGGAUAACCUACCUAUAAGACUGGGAUAACUUCGGGAAACCGGAGCUAAUACCGGAUAAUAUUUUGAACCGCAUGGUUCAAAAGUGAAAGACGGUCUUGCUGUCACUUAUAGAUGGAUCCGCGCUGCAUUAGCUAGUUGGUAAGGUAACGGCUUACCAAGGCAACGAUGCAUAGCCGACCUGAGAGGGUGAUCGGCCACACUGGAACUGAGACACGGUCCAGACUCCUACGGGAGGCAGCAGUAGGGAAUCUUCCGCAAUGGGCGAAAGCCUGACGGAGCAACGCCGCGUGAGUGAUGAAGGUCUUCGGAUCGUAAAACUCUGUUAUUAGGGAAGAACAUAUGUGUAAGUAACUGUGCACAUCUUGGCGGUACCUAAUCAGAAAGCCACGGCUAACUACGUG
rnacentral:rRNA from 1 species